rnacentral:rRNA from 1 species
GGAGUAUGGACCGUGUCUCAGUUCCAUUGUGGCCGUUCAUCCUCUCAGACCGGCUACCGAUCGUCGGCUUGGUAGGCCUUUACCCCACCAACUACCUAAUCGGACGCAGGCUCCUCGCAAAGCGAUAAAUCUUUAAUGCAACUGUCAUGCGACAACUGCACAACAUUCGGUAUUAGCGCCCCUUUCGGAACGUUGUCCCCAUCUUUGCGGCAGAUUACCUGCGCUUUACUCACCCGUUCGCCACUAAACCCGAAGGUUCCGUUCGACUUGCAUGUGUUAAGCACGCCGCCAGCGUCGUCCUCGAGCCACGGAUCAAACUACU